GUGGGGAAUCUUCCGCAAUGGACGAAAGUCUGACGGAGCGACGCCGCGUGAGUGAAGAAGGCCUUCGGGUCGUAAAGCUCUGUCAUCAGGGACGAACGGCCGGUGGAGUGGAAAGCCACCGGAUUGACGGUACCUGAGAAGGAAGCCACGGCUAACUACGUGCCAGCAGCCGCGGUAAUACGUAGGUGGCAAGCGUUGUCCGGAAUUAUUGGGCGUAAAGUGCGCGCAGGUGGGAUCUUAAGUCCAUUUUUAAAGUUCGGAGCUCAACUCCGUGAUGGGAUGGAAACUGGGAUUCUUGAGUACCGGAGAGGAAAGCGGAAUUCCCCGUGUAGCGGUGAAAUGCGUAGAUAUGGGGAGGAACACCAGUGGCGAAGGCGGCUUUCUGGACGGUGUCUGACACUGAGGCGCGAAAGCCAGGGGAGCGAACGGGAUUAGAAACCCGUGUAGUCC
rnacentral:rRNA from 1 species